rnacentral:tRNA from 1 species
AAGGGAGACCUAAUUCGGGUAGAAGACGAGAAAAUAGUAGUCGAAACCAAGAAUCAAUCCCAAAAGGUCGGAACGAGGUAUGUGGCUUUCAAACUAGGUUCUGGGUUCACAAAAGACCUGAAUCAGGAACAAGGGCUAUUAGCUCAGGUGGUUAGAGCGCACCCCUGAUAAGGGUGAGGUCCCUGGUUCGAGUCCAGGAUGGCCCACCUGCACAGGUGGCAAAAACAAGAGAAACGAGGAAUCAGCACCUUAUCUUACUUACAUAGUAAGAGAGAAUGCUGGCUCUGAGUAAAGAGUCCAGAGGAACCUUGAAAACUGCAUAGAGCUAGGUGAAAAAGCCAAAAAAGAAGACCGCAA